AUUCUAGAGCAAGAAACUGAUGAGACUAUUCAAGUCAUGGAAACUUUAAUAGAGAUUGAAGAAAAUCAAGUUAUUUCUAUUGAUUUGAAGAGCCUUUCAACUGUAAUCCAUUUGAUUUUGUUUGUCCAGAUCCUUUUAGAGAUGCAAAGGAAAACAUGAAGUGCUUGAUUUUUAGCUUCUUGCUACCAUACAAGAAUAAAAAGUUGAUUGCUCUCCUAAUGUAGUUUCUGAUUGUUACACUUCAAGACUCGAGGAUGUGUUUUUUCCAACCAGGGGAGAAGAAUGCAAAAUAAGAAUAUGAUAUU
rnacentral:misc_RNA from 1 species